rnacentral:rRNA from 1 species
GACGAACGCUGGCGGCGUGCUUAACACAUGCAAGUCGAACGGAAAGGCCCUGCUUUUGUGGGGUGCUCGAGUGGCGAACGGGUGAGUAACACGUGAGUAACCUGCCCUUGACUUUGGGAUAACUUCAGGAAACUGGUGCUAAUACCGGAUAGGAGCUCCUGCUGCAUGGUGGGGGUUGGAAAGUUUCGGCGGUUGGGGAUGGACUCGCGGCUUAUCAGCUUGUUGGUGGGGUAGUGGCUUACCAAGGCUUUGACGGGUAGCCGGCCUGGGAGGGUGACCGGCCACAUUGGGACGGAGAUACGGCCCAGACUCCUACGGGAGGCAGCAGAGGGGAAUAGUGCACUAUGGGCGGAAGCCUGAUGCGGCAACGCCGCGUGCGGGAUGACGGCCUUCGGGUUGUAAACCGCUUUCGCCUGUGACGAAGCGUGAGUGACGGUAAUGGGUAAAGAAGCACCGGCUAACUACGUG